rnacentral:rRNA from 1 species
CAGUAGCCGCGGGAAUACGAAGGGGGCUAGCGUUGCUCGGAAUGACUGGGCGUAAAGGGCGCGUAGGCGGUUCACGCAGUCAGAUGUGAAAUUCCUGGGCUCAACCUGGGGGCUGCAUUAGAUACGCGUGGGCUAGAGUGGGGAAGAGGGUCGUGGAAUUCCCAGUGUAGAGGUGAAAUUCGUAGAUAUUGGGAAGAACACCGGUGGCGAAGGCGGCGACCUGGUCCUUGACUGACGCUGAGGCGCGAAAGCGUGGGGAGCAAACAGGAUUAGAGACCCGCGUAGUCCCUGUCUCUUAUAA